UCUAGCAGAAGAGGAGCAUUGCCCAGGCAGGUUUGGUGUGGAACCCCAAUUCCAAGACACCUAACUCAGGGGGAGCAAUGCCGAGAUGACAAUUCAUUGCGGGUGAAUUGAGCAUCGGGCGAGCAGGUUGAAUCCUGCCGACUGUCACCCUAGGUGAAGAGCUUCUGAGGUA
rfam:Vibrio nigripulchritudo str. SFn1 chromosome, complete genome.